UCUCCGUUGGUGAACCAGCGGAGGGAUCAUUACCGAGUUAUCAACUCCCAAACCCCUGUGAACAUACCCAACGUUGCUUCGGCGGGACCGCCCCGGCGCCCUCGGCGUCCCGGAACCAGGCGCCCGCCGGAGGACCCAAACUCUUGUUUAAACCAUAGUGGCAUAUUCUGAGUCUCACAAGAAAAAUGAAUCAAAACUUUCAACAACGGAUCUCUUGGCUCUGGCAUCUAUGAAGAACGCAGC
rnacentral:misc_RNA from 1 species